rnacentral:lncRNA from 1 species
AUCAACGUUCUUCUUCAAUUAAAUUUCUAGAAAAACUCAUGAGAAUAUCACACCAAUCCAAACAAUAUACACAAACAAUAAUCCAAUCAAUCACCCAAGACCCGCACCUCACCCAAUCCAUUGCAGCCCCAAAUUUCCACAAUUCCCACAAAAUUCCUCUCUCAAACCAUGCCCACAUCCACCACUCUCAUACGUACAAGUUUUUCUCGUCAACCCUUAAGUUGGGUUUUGUAGCAAAGAGAGAGAGAGAGAGAGAGAGAGUAGCUGACAGGGAUGACGGAAAUCCACUAUGUUCCACUAGCAUUUCGAUUCUGGCAUAGACGGUGAUGACCGUCAAGACCGGGUUCUGAAAUGGGUUAGUGUCUACAAUCCGAUUAAGCCAUCGGAUCUCCUUGAAGUUGUGAAUCCUUUGAUGUGUUGAUGGGGCUGUGAAGCUGUUGGAAGAGAGGCGGGAAGAGAGAGAAAGGAGGAGAGAUAGAGCAAGGAGAAAAUUAACUAAUUUUUUUAAUGUUUUAUUUUAAUUAUUUUAAUUAGUUUUAAUAAUUAGAAUAUUUAAUUAUAUCUUUAUCUAUGUGGAAGUGGGCUCCACUUGCCACGUCACCUUUCAAUUGGCGAAUAAUG